CAGGAUUCGCAAGAACUCCCGUAACCACUGUGAACCUUACCUUCUGUUGCCUCGGCGGGCGCUGGUCUCGACCAGCGCUCACGCCCGCCGACGGCCCACAACUCAUUGUCUGACUCUAAGCAUCUCCGAGCCAUACACAAACGAAUCA
rnacentral:misc_RNA from 1 species